GCCGUCACGGCUGAAAUAACUCAACGUUGAAAAGUUACCGGCGAGGAAACCGCUUCUCUUUUAUGGAGCAGUCAAACGGUUUAGAAGAGAAUGCGGCGAAGAAAGUAGUAGAGAUAGAGACGGAGCAGAAGAGUUCGGGUCAGGAGUCGGAUCGAGUUAUGAAAUCGGAUCCGAGAUCCGAUGUAGAGCAACUUCAACAGCUGGAUAAAACACCUGUUAUCAAUGAGAGUAGCAAAUCGGAGAAUGGUUCGAUGAAGUCGAGGAAAUCGGUGAGCUGGAGCGAGGAAUUGGUAGCGGAAUCGCCGGCGCCGAGAUCUAUGCCUUCUGAUGACCGUGGAUUGAAUCCUUAUGUGGCUUAUACUCCUGCUCCUGAAAACAAUUCGUCUUCCUUCAAUGUGAAAGACACAAUGGAGAGCGUCAAAGGUGUGCUUGGUAGAUGGGGGAAGAAGGUU
rnacentral:misc_RNA from 1 species